rnacentral:rRNA from 1 species
CAUUCGCCGCGGGAAUACGUAGGUGGCAAGCGUUGUCCGGAAUUAUUGGGCGUAAAGGGCUCGCAGGCGGUUUCUUAAGUCUGAUGUGAAAGCCCCCGGCUCAACCGGGGAGGGUCAUUGGAAACUGGGAAACUUGAGUGCAGAAGAGGAGAGUGGAAUUCCAUGUGUAGCGGUGAAAUGCGUAGAUAUAUGGAGGAACACCGGUGGCGAAAGCGGCUCUCUGGUCUGUAACUGACGCUGAGGCUCGAAAGCGUGGGGAGCAAACAGGAUUAGAGACCCGUGUAGUCCCUGUCUCUUAUAC